CAGAGGGUGCGAGCGUUGUUCGGAAUUACUGGGCGUAAAGCGCGCGCAGGCGGCUCUCUAAGUCUACGGUGAAAGACCGGGGCUCAACCCCGUGUCAGCCCGGGAUACUGGGGAGCUAGGGACAUGUAGGGGCGAGCGGAAUUCCGGGUGUAGCGGUGGAAUGCGUAGAGAUCCGGAAGAACACCGGGGGCGAAGGCGGCUCGCUGGGCAUGGUCCGACGCUGAGGCGCGAAAGCGUGGGGAGCGAACAGGAUUAGAUACCCUGGUAGUCCACGCCGUAAACGAUGGGCACUAGAGGCGGGGGGGAUCGGCCCUCUCCGUCUCGCAGCUAACGCGUUAAGUGCCCCGCCUGGGGAGUACGGCCGCAAGGCUG
rnacentral:rRNA from 1 species